rnacentral:tRNA from 1 species
GGCCCUAUCGUCUAUCGGUUAGGACGUCGCCUUCUCAAGGCGAAAAGCGCGGUUCGAUUCCGCGUAGGGUCACCA